UACGUAGGUGGCAAGCGUUGUCCGGAUUUACUGGGCGUAAAGAGCGCGCAGGCGGUCGAGUAAGUCGAAUGUGAAAGCCCCCGGCUUAACUGGGGAGGGUCAUUCGAUACUGUUCGACUUGAAGGCAGGAGAGGGCAGCAGAAUUCCCGGUGUAGUGGUGAAAUGCGUAGAUAUCGGGAGGAAUACCAGUGGCGAAGGCGGCUGCCUGGCCUGUUCUUGACGCUGAGGCGCGAAAGCUAGGGUAGCAAACGGG
rnacentral:rRNA from 1 species